rfam:Oryza sativa Indica Group scaffold007966 genomic scaffold, whole genome shotgun sequence.
UUCGAUACAAUAUUUUAUAUGCGGUAUUUUUCCAGUCAGUCCUCUUAACCAGGCGCUAUCUCUGAUAUCCCCUCCUUUUGAGUUCAUACGUAUACGUUUAUACGUUCCCUAUCAUAACGUUGUUAUUCUAAACGUCUUCAAAUGGAGUAUUUUAUGUCAUCCAGGAUCUUAGGUCUGGUCAAGUGGUAUAACGAAGAUAAGCGCUUUGGAUUUAUCUCCCCUCUCGAUGGAAGUAAAGAUGUAUUUGUUCACUUUUCUGCCUUACAGGAAGAAAGUGUCAAUACGCUUUUCGAAGGCCAAAAGGUCGAAUUCGCUAUUAUUGCCGGUAAUAAAGGCCCAGCGGCAGCCAACGUAAUGCUCUGCGAUAAGUAAUAUUA